rnacentral:rRNA from 1 species
UUUAACUUAAGAGUUUGAUCCUGGCUCAGGACGAACGCUGGCGGCGUGCCUAACACAUGCAAGUCGAGCGGAGAUUUCUUUGGCACUGAGUGCUCUAUGAAGACGCAAAGGAAGCGUCACGAAAAAAUACCUUGAAGUUGGAAAAUAGAAAUGAUAAUUUUUUCGUCACGCGUUUUCCAAGUGCCAACACACUAUUGCAAUACGAGUUGGAUUAGAGUAUUGAGUGCCAAAGAAAUCUUAGCGGCGGACGGGUGAGUAACACGUGGGCAACCUGCCUCAAAGAGGGGGAUAACACCGAGAAAUCGGUGCUAAUACCGCAUAACAU